UCAAGCUACAAAGAGCACAAGGGGAAUGCCUUGGCACCGAGAGCCGAAGAAGGACGUGACUAACUGCGAUAAGCUGCGGGGAGCCGUAAGUGGGCUUUGAUCCGCAGAUUUCCGAAUGGAGCAAUCCGGCAAGAGGAAAGUCUUGUCAUCAUAUACUGAAUACAUAGGUAUAUGAGGGGAACCGCCUGAACUGAAACAUCUAAGUAGGGCGAGGAAGAGAAAUCAACUGAGAUUCCGUAAGUAGUGGCGAGCGAACGCGGAAGAGGCCAAACCGAGAGUAGUAAUACUUUCGGGGUUCGGACAGAAAACGGUAUUGUAAAGGUUUAGUGGAAUGGAAUGGGAAGUCCAACCGAAGAAGGUGAGAGUCCUGUACACGAAAAGCCUGAACAGCCAUCUGUAUCCAGAGUACCGCCGGACACGUGAAACCCGGUGGGAAUACGGGGGGACCAUCCUCCAAGCCUAAAUACUACUCGGUGACCGAUAGUGAAGAAGUACUGUGAAGGAAAGGUGAAAAGUACCCCUGACGGGGAGUGAAAAAGAACCUGAAACCUUGUGUUUACAAGCACCGAAAGCUCAUCAAAGAGCGAUCGGGUACCUUUUGUAGAAUGGUCCGGCGAGUGAAUGUAACCGGCGAGGUUAAGCACUUAAGGUGUGAAGCCGCAGCGAGAGCAAGUCUGAAUAGGGCGUAUGAAGUCGGUUGUAUUCGACCCGAAACCGGGUGACCUACCCAUGGUCAGGUUGAAGUAAAGGUAAAACUUUAUGGAGGACCGAACCGACUCCCGUUGAAAUGGUAGCGGAUGAACUGUGGGUAGCGGAGAAAUUCCAAUCGAACCCGGAGAUAGCUGGUUCUCUCCGAAAUAGCUUUAGGGCUAGCCUUGAAAUAGAUUACCGGAGGUAAAGCACUGAAUUGGCUAGGGGCCGAGAGGUUACUGAACCUUAUCAAACUAAGAAUGCCGGAUAAUCGUUUUUCAGGAGUCAGACAGUGGGAGAUAAGUUUCAUUGUCAAAAGGGAAACAGCCCAGACCCACAGCUAAGGUCCCCAAGUAUAGUUAAGUGGAAAAGGAUGUGGAAUUGCACAGACAACCAGGAUGUUGGCUUAGAAGCAGCCACUCAUUAAAAGAGUGCGUAAUAGCUCACUGGUCGAGUGACUCUGCGCCGAAAAUUUAACGGGGCUAAACUAUACACCGAAGCUUGGGAUACAUCUAAUGUAUGGUAGGAGAGCGUUCUGUAUGGGGUGAAGUCGUAGCGAAAGCGGCGGUGGACUGUACAGAAGUGAGAAUGCCGGAAUAAGUAGCGAGAAUUAAGUGAGAAUCUUAAUGGCCGAAAGUCUAAGGUUUUUGGAGGAAGGUUCGUCCGCUCCAAGUAAGUCGGGAGCUAAGGUCAGGCCGAAAGGCGUAGCCGAUGCACAUACGGUUGAUAUUCCGUAACCAUCUGUAAUUUAAGCAAAGGGACACUUCAAAAGGGUGUGACCCGGGCGUUGGUUGACCCGGGCGUAAGGGACCGAAAUUAGAGUAGGGAAGCACACUUAGCUGAAGGCGAGAAAAGCUUUGCGUAUAGAAACAGAUGCCCGUACCGCAAACCGACACAGGUGGACAGGAAGAGAAUUCUAAGGCCAGCGGGAGAAGGGUAGUUAAGGAACUCGGCAAAUUGACUCCGUAACUUCGGAAUAAGGAGUGCUCGAAAGAGCCGCAGAGAAUAGGCCCAGGCGACUGUUUAGCAAAAACACAGGUCUCUGCCAAAUCGAAAGAUGAAGUAUAGGGGCUGACACCUGCCCGGUGCCGGAAGGUUAAGAGGAGGAGUGAGAGCUCCGAAUUGAAGCCCCGGUAAACGGCGGCCGUAACUAUAACGGUCCUAAGGUAGCGAAAUUCCUUGUCGGGUAAGUUCCG
rnacentral:rRNA from 1 species